UUUGUACUCCCUCCGUUCGGAAAUACUUGUCAUUCAAAUGGAUGUAUUUAGAUGUAUUUUAGUUCUAGAUACAUCCAUUUUAAUGACAAGUAAUUUCGAACGGAGGGAGUAUUUU
rnacentral:pre_miRNA from 1 species